rnacentral:rRNA from 1 species
AUUGAACGCUGGCGGCAUGCCUUACACAUGCAAGUCGAACGGUAACAGGUCUUCGGAUGCUGACGAGUGGCGAACGGGUGAGUAAUACAUCGGAACGUGCCCGAUCUGGGGGAUAACGCAGCGAAAGCUGUGCUAAUACCGCAUACGAUCUACGGAUGAAAGCGGGGGAUCGCAAGACCUCGCGCGGACGGAGCGGCCGAUGGCAGAUUAGGUAGUUGGUGGGAUAAAAGCUUACCAAGCCGACGAUCUGUAGCUGGUCUGAGAGGACGACCAGCCACACUGGGACUGAGACACGGCCCAGACUCCUACGGGAGGCAGCAGUGGGGAAUUUUGGACAAUGGGGGAAACCCUGAUCCAGCCAUGCCGCGUGCAGGAUGAAGGCCUUCGGGUUGUAAACUGCUUUUGUACGGAACGAAAAGGUCCUUUCUAAUAAAGAGGGCUCAUGACGGUACCGUAAGAAUAAGCACCGGCUAACUACGUG